CAACCCUUUCUUUCUUCUUCCUCGCACCGCAUGCCUAAAUUUUUCCCUCUCAUCUCUUCCAACGAACGUCGCCUCCGUCCAAACCCACGAACGUCGCGCCUUUUCUUUGGACUGCAAGCACCUGUUCAGUGGCGUCGACUCGACUCCCUUCAAUCGUCUAGGUCACGAAGUAGUCGUCGUCUCUGAUCGUCCAUGGUAUCGCAGCAGUCGCCGCCUCUGAUCGUCGACGGUGUCGCUCGCUAAUCUGCGCUGGUCUCCAUGGAUUGCAGGUCGUCGCCCAGAACCUCGAGAUCCCACAAUCACUCGCACCCAGAUCUGAAUAUUUAUAACCAGAUAGUCACGCAAGGGUGUUUCGGAUCCGUUGUUUCUCGUCGUUUGUGCUGUCAGCAAUAAAGAUCGUCGGAACUUGUGGAUUUGGGGAAAAGGUAAAGAUGCACCGGCAAUGGCGCAGCGGAAUUCAUGAUCGUGUCACUGGGACUAGAUUUUUCACUUCCGCACUUUGAAAUUUGAGUCCUUAUUUUCCUCUUAAUAUUUAGUUUUACUGUUUAAAAAUUUAUUACUAAGGAUUAUUUCUUUUAUAUACUAUUGUUAGUCUUUAAGAAUUUUGGGUACCCUAUUAUUUGUUUUAACAAUUGCAUUUAAUAAAUGUCUUUUGAACUUCUCUUGUUUAA